UCAACACCAACAGAAAUAAUGGACUCUCUCCCACUAAAAAACCACCGUGUAUGUUAGCUUUUACACUGCAUUUUGAUGCCAAAAUUGCCUUUCAAUUUUAACAACAUUUUUAAACAGAUUUUUUGAAUUAAUUUAUCGAGGUGGUUAUUUAAAAGUAUCCCCGAAUCUCGGGCAAAAUCGUAACAGAGUUUCAAUGUUUUCUCCUAAUUUUGGCGUGUAAAUUUAAUGUGUGGCGUGUAAGUUUUGGAUUAAAAAAAACUGUGUUUUAAGCUGUCCUGACUAUAAUAAAAAAUCCCCGAAAUCCCAAAAAAUCGGAACAGAGCUUUAAAUUUUCUGCCAACAGAGCGUUAAUCACUCUAUUUAGGAGUGUUUGGCGCAAUUCUGUAUCUUGUUUAGAUUGAGGUAUGAAUUUUAUCUUAAAUACACUUGCCUAACAUUUGUUUAAUGCGUCUGCAUUCUAGUUUACUUCUUAUCUCUGAAUCAUCUGAAUAUGCUGAUAUUUAUUUAUUUAUUUACUUUAUGACUAAUAAUACUAGGUUCGAAUAGAAGUUCUUAGGAAAUAAUCUACUGGGACCUGUAAGAUUAUUUUCAUUCAGAACAUUUAUUUCGAUAAUAGAGAUAAUUCGAUAAGAGAUUAUACUAUAAUAAAUAAAGAGUAUAAUUUGUGCGUGGCGGUGAUUCGGCUCACUUUAAGUUCUAAGCCAGCUGCGUCGCACUUUCCUACCACACUGUUCAAACUCCGCUGUAGAUCUUCUGAGCUAGAGGCCAGCAAAAGCGUGUCAUCCGCGUACCGCAUGUUAUUUAUCAAUUCGCCAUUAACGACAAUGCCCACUGCUGCCUCCGAACAUGCAUCUUUGAAAAUUUUCUCUGAGUAUACAUUGAAGAGCAACGGAGAUAGGAUGCACCCUUGCCUUACGCCACGCUUGAUGGUUACUACUGGCGUGGUGGCACAGAACAUACCCCCUUAGAAUGGAAACUGCAAUGAUAGGUUAUGGAGAUAAAUUCAGCACACAAACUAUGGGAAUGUGAGGAAUUUUUCCGAUAUUUGACUCCUAAUGAUUGCAUUCACCAAAUAUAUCGGGUCAAUAAAAAAACCCUGUUAUGUAAUAUUUUAUUCAAUACGUAGUCAAUAAAUCAGUUACAACCAUG